rnacentral:rRNA from 1 species
UACGUAGGGCGCAAGCGUUGUCCGGAAUUAUUGGGCGUAAAGAGCUCGUAGGCGGUUUGUCGCGUCUGACUGUGAAAACCUAAGGCUCAAACCUUGGGCUUGCAGUGGGUACGGGCAGACUAGAGUGCGGUAGGGUGGACAUGGAAUUCUGAUGUAGCGGUGAAAUGCGCAGAUAUCGAGGAGGAACACCGGUGGCGGAAGGCGGGAUC